GGACUGUGGAGGAAGCCCCAAGCCAGAACCUCUCAGGCUGCCGGCCCUGAGAUGAGAAAUGUUCCCUCAGAAGGGACGGUGUCAUUUGAAGAUGUGGCUGUGAACUUCACGUGGCAGGAGUGGCGGUACCUGAGUGAAGCUCAGAGGACCCUGUGCUGGGAUGUGAUGCUGGAGACCUGCAAACACCUGGUAUCUCUAGGGCCCUGUGUUACCGAUCCUGAGGAGAGCAUCAGGUCAGAGCAGGGAUUACAGCCGUGGACUGUGGACGAUCCCCCAAACCAGGACCUCUCAGGAGGCGGAUCUACAUGGCGGCAAGGAAACAGUGCGAGUA